AUCCAGCUGACGAGUCCCAAAUAGGACGAAAUGCGCAUC
rnacentral:hammerhead_ribozyme from 1 species